CUGGACGGGGUCGACGGCCGAUCAUGAAGGGCCGUGGCCUAGAUCAAUGGCUCACAUUGCACUGGGUGAGGGCGUUGGUCUACCAUCUCCCCAAGUGGGAGAGUGGACGUCAUAAUUUGUGGUAGAGGGGGUACGCGUUCGCGCGGCCCCUGCCAAGUCUUGAAAAUUAAAUUUUGGCCCUUGAGGUUAUACAGCCAGGUCCAUUUGGCGUCGUUUUUAAAUUUCUUCGGGCCUCUCAUGUGACCCGAGUACAGUUUAUCAGUAAUUUUUGUACGAGCAACAUCAUUCGAAUUGACUGUCCGGAAUUGCCUUGCAUACGAGUACGAUUUUCAUACACUACACGAAGUCACGGUUUACAAUGUUGUGAAUCCACGAUUUUCAUAUACUACACACGGUUGCCCCAUGUUCUGACUCGUACGACUACACACAGAUGUGAGUCUUAUCAUACGAGUUGGUGCAGAUGUGAGUCUUGUGACUUAUCGUACGAGUUCGUCAGACGAAUUCCGUCGUAUUGUGUAGCAGUUCUCUUGACUGACUCUGCUCAUGAUUUUUUUCUUGAGAAGAUGCUCAUGAUAUAACUAAAACCCCAGCUGUGAUUGAAUUAUUGAGCCAGCUGCGUUUAUUUAUUUUCUCUUGACCCCUUUGCAA